UACUUGUCUAUACUUGUCGACUAUGGUUUG
rnacentral:piRNA from 1 species